UGGGGAAUUUUCCGCAAUGGGCGCGUAGGCGGCUGCUUAAGUCGAGGGUGAAAGCCCGGGGCUCAACCUCGGAACGGCCUUCGAGACUGGGCGGCUAGAGACCGGAAGAGGAGGGUGGAAUACCCAGUGUAGAGGUGAAAUUCGUAGAUAUUGGGUGGAACACCAGUGGCGAAAGCGGCUCUCUGGUCCGGAUCUGACGCUGAGGCGCGAAAGCGUGGGGAGCAAACAGGAUUAGAUACCCCUGUAGUCC
rnacentral:rRNA from 1 species